rnacentral:rRNA from 1 species
ACGCUGGCGGCAUGCCUAACACAUGCAAGUCGAACGAACCCUUCGGGGUUAGUGGCGCACGGGUGCGUAACGCGUGGGAAUCUGCCCUUUGCUUCGGAAUAACAGUUAGAAAUGACUGCUAAUACCGGAUGAUGUCUUCGGACCAAAGAUUUAUCGGCAAAGGAUGAGCCCGCGUAGGAUUAGGUAGUUGGUGGGGUAAAGGCCUACCAAGCCGACGAUCCUUAGCUGGUCUGAGAGGAUGAUCAGCCACACUGGGACUGAGACACGGCCCAGACUCCUACGGGAGGCAGCAGUGGGGAAUAUUGGACAAUGGACGCAAGUCUGAUCCAGCAAUGCCGCGUGAGUGAUGAAGGCCUUAGGGUUGUAAAGCUCUUUUACCAGGGAUGAUAAUGACAGUACCUGGAGAAUAAGCUCCGGCUAACUCCGUGCCAGCAGCCGCGGUAAUACGGAGGGAGCUAGCGUUGUUCGGAAUUACUGGGCGUAAAGCGCACGUAGGCGGUUACUCAAGUCAGAGGUGAAAGCCCGGGGCUCAACCCCGGAACUGCCUUUGAAACUAGGUAACUAGAAUCCUGGAGAGGUGAGUGGAAUUCCGAGUGUAGAGGUGAAAUUCGUAGAUAUUCGGAAGAACACCAGUGGCGAAGGCGGCUCACUGGACAGGUAUUGACGCUGAGGUGCGAAAGCGUGGGGAGCAAAC